rnacentral:tRNA from 1 species
GAGGGCAUAGCUCAGUGGUAGAGAGCGUGCUUAGUGAGCACAGGGUCCUGGGUUCAAUCCUCAGCACCUCCA